ACUCAUACCUAGCAGGGGAGAUACCAUGAUCAUCAAAGUGGUUUUCCCAGGAUGAGACUCAUAUAUUGCACUUUGGAUAUGCUGAUCUCUGUGAUUUCCCCAAAUGUGAAAAAAUCAACUGCCUAAGUGGGUGACUGUGUUUGUGUUUUCCCCUG
rnacentral:snRNA from 1 species